AAUCCAUGCAUCAGACAUUUCUACAGUAAUUCUUGAAAUCGUACCCAAGCUUCAUAUAGCGUUUCAUCCUCUGAUUUUCAAAAAGAUGUAAUGUCAUUUCUAGGCUU
rfam:Gossypium hirsutum cultivar TM-1 chromosome 20, whole genome shotgun sequence